rnacentral:rRNA from 1 species
CCUACGGGAGGCAGCAGUGAGGAAUAUUGGUCAAUGGACGGGAGCCUGAACCAGCCAAGCCGCGUGAAGGAAGAAGGCGCUAGGCGUCGUAAACUUCUUUUGUCGGGGAACAAAGGGCGCCACGCGUGGCGUUGUGUGUGUACCCGAAGAAAAAGCAUCGGCUAACUCCGUGCCAGCAGCCGCGGUAAUCCGGAGGCUGCGAGGGUUAUCGGGAUUUAUUGGGUUAAAAGGGUGCGUAGGUGGUCCGGAAAGUCAGCGGUAAAAGUCCGGGGCUCAACCGCGGCGAGCCGUUGAAACGGUCGGACUAGAGACGGCGAGAGGUACGGGGAAUUCGCGGUGUAGCGGUGAAAUGCAUAGAUAUCGCGCAGAACUCCGAUUGCGAAGGCAGCUUACCGGCGCCUGACUGACGCUGAGGCACGAAAGCGUGGGUAUCGAACAGGAUUAGAUACCCGUGUAGUC